rnacentral:rRNA from 1 species
GGGCUUGACAUCCCACGAAUCCUGCCGAAAGGCAGGAGUGCCCGCAAGGGAGCGCGGAGACAGGUGGUGCAUGGCUGUCGUCAGCUCGUGUCGUGAGAUGUUGGGUUAAGUCCCGCAACGAGCGCAACCCUCACCCCUUGUUGCCAUCAGGUCAUGCUGGGCACUCUAGGGGAACUGCCCCGGUCAACGGGGAGGAAGGCGGGGAUGACGUCAAGUCAUCAUGCCCCUUACGCCCUGGGCUACACACGUGCUACAAUGGCCGGUACAAAGGGAUGCAACGCCGUGAGGCAGAGCCAAACCCAAAAAGCCGGUCUAAGUUCAGAUUGGAGUCUGCAACUCGACUCCAUGAAGGAGGAAUCGCUAGUAAUCGCGUAUCAGCACGACGCGGUGAAUACGUUCCCGGGCCUUGUACACACCGCCCGUCACACCACGAAAGCCUGUUGUACUCGAAGUCGCUGAG